UACGAAGGGGGCUAGCGUUGUUCGGAUUUACUGGGCGUAAAGCGCACGUAGGCGGAUCGUUAAGUCGGGGGUGAAUCCUGGAGCUCAACUCCAGAACUGCCUUCGAUACUGGCGAUCUCGAGUCCGGAAGAGGUGGAGUGGAACUCCUAGUGUAGAGGUGGAAUUCGUAGAUAUUAGGAAGAACACCAGUGGCGAAGGCGACUCACUGGUCCGGUACUGACGCUGAGGUGCGAAAGCGUGGG
rnacentral:rRNA from 1 species